ensembl:lncRNA
GGGAAAGGUCUGGCAACCAGCUGUCGUCACAGCAUUUUUCUGAAUUAAGCUUUCUGGAGCAGUGUGGGCUCCGCUUCGUAGAGGAUAUGGCUAAUGUGGAAUGGAAGUCCAAAGACAAGACACUAGGUGAACUUCACGAUUAAUUUGAUUUUCACCUUUUAAUGAGAUAGUGUAAUAGAAAAAAAAUCAACUCUGAUUUUUUGAGAAAAAAGUGCUAAGUUGCUUCAGUCGUGUCUGACUCUUUUUUGACCCCAUAGACUGUAGCCCACCAGGCUCCCCCGUCCCUGGGAUUCUCCCAGCAAGAAUACUGGAGUGAGUUGCCAUUUCCUCCUGCAGAGGAUCUUCCCGAGCCAGGGAUUGAACCCAUGUCUUUGUACAUCUCUUGCUUUGGCAGGUUGUUAAAAAAAAUUGAGUGACCAUUUAAGAAUCAGAUAAUUUCAAGAAAAAGAUCCAGAUUUUUUGAAACGUAUUUUGGGACAGUGGAAGAUUUGGCAACGCAGGCCAGCAUUUGUCUGGGGCUGGGCAUCAGCUGCCCCCUUGAGAAGGAGCGGACGAACACACGCCAUUGGGAUGCAGGCCAGGACUCCAGGGUGAACAAAUAUGCUUCUACAUAUGGCCCUUCUCUCCAUGUUUAUGCCUGGUUCCUUGUAGGCACUGGAUUUUAAAAUCUCCACGGUAAAGGAGAUUCAGCUGCAAGUCUUGCUGGGACAGAACUUGCUUCUC